rnacentral:rRNA from 2 species
CAAACGACUCUCGGCAACGGAUAUCUCGGCUCUUGCAUCGAUGAAGAACGUAGCGAAAUGCGAUACUUGGUGUGAAUUGCAGAAUCCCGUGAACCAUCGAGUCUUUGAACGCAAGUUGCGCCCGAGGCCAUUAGGUCGAGGGCACGUCUGCCUGGCCGUCACAC